CCCCUAUACCACUAUAACAGCAGUAUCUUUCACAGAAUAUAGAGAAAACAGAUUUUUUAAUACAGUAAACUCUCCAUUUUCCCACCUUAUCUCUGACCAAGUUAUUUAUCCCUAUUGUGACAGCAUUAUUAUAUUUUAAUUUAGAUCCUUUCAAUAUUCAGUCUUUACUGAACGAUGGGAACAGAAGCCAGGCCCUGGAAGUAUAUAUAUUUCUGGUACUGUUAUUUUUCUAUAUUUCCAUCUCUUCUUCUUUAAAA